UUUUACAAUGAAGAGUUUGAUCCUGGCUCAGGAUGAACGCUAGCUACAGGCUUAACACAUGCAAGUCGAGGGGCAGCAUGAUUGAAGCUUGCUUCAAUUGAUGGCGACCGGCGCACGGGUGAGUAACGCGUAUCCAACCUUCCGUACACUCAGGGAUAGCCUUUCGAAAGAAAGAUUAAUACCUGAUGGUAUCUUAAGCACACAUGUAAUU
rnacentral:rRNA from 1 species